UACGUAGGGUGCAAGCGUUAAUCGGAAUUACUGGGCGUAAAGCGUGCGUAGGCGGCUAUGUAAGACAGAUGUGAGAUCCCUGGGCUUAACCUGGGAACUGCAUUUGUGACUGCAUUGCUAGAGUGUGGUAGAGGGAGAUGGAAUUCCGCAUGUAGCAGUGAAAUGCGUAGAUAUGCGGAGGAACACCAAUGGCGAAGGCAAUCUCCUGGACCUGCACUGACGCUCAUGCACGAAAGCGUGGGGAGCAAACAGG
rnacentral:rRNA from 1 species